AUUGAAUCAAACCAAUCUUCGUAAUGACGAAGUUGAAGUUUUACCAUUCACCCAGUGCACCAGGUUUUGGUCAUUGAUUUUCAACCUCAAUGGACUGAAAGUGACUUUGCAGCAGUUACAUAGCUCUAUUUUGAAGGAAAAUAACUGGAGUUAUGCAAACCAAGAAGAUUAAGAAAUUGCCAAAAAUGAGAUGUUGGAAGGUGGGAUCUUGCAAUGUGGAUGUUGAAGAUGCAAUACACAGGUUUAUCUGUAACAGUUGUUUUAGAAGAUUUCGGGUUUGGUGAGCAUCAACAAUGUUGCCUUAUUGGUUCCAAGGGGGAGGUUAGUAAUAAAUAACAAAUUAAUAAGCCGUAUUUAUAACCUCAACUGCAACUGUUCAGGCCUAGCGUCGAUUUGCGCCAAACCGAAUUAGGCGAUUAUCUGAUCAAAAGCAAAUGCUGAGAAACGUCGAUCAGAAAUUGUGUUCUUCUGAUGAAUAUAGUGACAGCGAUACAAAGUGAAAGACACUGACGCGUUCUUUCCUUCAGUUAAGCCCAUUUGUCACUCAAUUUUAAUAAUAAAAUUAUCAGUUUUUAGCUAUUAUAAAAGGACUGUAGGAUGCAGUUAAUGUAUAAGCAUAUUUGUGUUCUGAUAUGCUAUUUAUAGAGAUUGAAAAGAAACCUCACAUAGUUUAGUCCGUGUACUCUAGGAAUACAGAGUUAGGUUAGUUUAUGCAGUAUUAUGGGCAAUGAUUUUUCAAAAGCCAAUGAUAAAUUAAAGGAUGAAUGCCAUUAGUUAGGUUUCUCACUUAGUUUUGAAAAGGCACACUUGAUAAUUAAGUUUAGUAUUCAAUUCAUUUACUUUUUAUUCAAAAAACGUGAUUUUAAUGUUUAUGUUUAAAUAUGUUUGGAGUUUGGUUAUAAAAUAUAUAUACUUUGUAUAUGUGUUAUUAACAAUUUAAUUUACUUUAAUAAAUUUUAUCAACCGUAUUAUACUUUUGUAACAAUACAAGUUAACUCCCAUUUGUCCUUUUUACUUCAUUACAAAUGUGUAGAUAUAGUCAUGUUGGUGUGGUUACCGUGAUCGUAUUGUUGGUUCUGGUCUCUUUAAAUGAAGAAUUUUAUUUCUUAUGAAUACGGCCCUUGGUUACACCAUCAUUCUGUGAAUAUUUACAACACAACUGAUGCAAGUAACUGAUUUUGGUCCAAAGGAUAUCGUGCCUUACAACCAGAUUCAUCAGGCCCAAGAUGAUAUUGAUUAUGGGAUUGCUGAUAAAUUGGUUGGCUCAAGAAAUAAUGCGUAUGAGGAACAGAUAUGUUGAAUUGUGGCGCAUCAAUUUUAGCCACCAUCCGUGGUGGACAUUCAACAUAGGUUUAGCAGGUACAACAUUUCUUCAGGGUUUUUUAUAGACUCAAGAAUUUUAGAAAUCUUGGUUCAUGGACAACAAUUAUCAACUACAACAGAAGCAGGAAAAAAAUAUAGGCAGUGGAAGCAGACCAUGUUACCUCAACUGUCCAAUGCAGGCCACACGUUAUUGUGACUUAAGGUUGUGACUUGGGGAAGGGUAACUUUAGUGUUAUAAGGUAGACUUCCUUUUAUUACAUAUUUGUUUGUUAUUGACAGACGACGUAAUGGCAUUGUAUUGGUCAACUUUUAGCGAGUGGGUUUUAGUGACAAAUAUUGUAUUGGUCAACUUUUAGCGGGUCAAAACACACAUUAGAUCCCACAAAGAUGGC